rnacentral:rRNA from 1 species
AGACCCGAAACCCGGUGAUCUAGCCAUGGGCAGGUUGAAGGUUGGGUAACACUAACUGGAGGACCGAACCGACUAAUGUUGAAAAAUUAGCGGAUGACCUGUGGCUGGGGGUGAAAGGCCAAUCAAACCGGGAGAUAGCUGGUUCUCCCCGAAAGCUAUUUAGGUAGCGCCUCGUGAAUUCAUCUCCGGGGGUAGAGCACUGUUUCGGCUAGGGGGCCAUCCCGGCUUACCAACCCGAUGCAAACUGCGAAUACCGGAGAAUGUUAUCACGGGAGACACACGGCGGGUGCUAACGUCCGUCGUGAAGAGGGAAACAACCCAGACCGCCAGCUAAGGUCCCAAAGUCAUGGUUAAGUGGGAAACGAUGUGGGAAGGCCCAGACAGCCAGGAUGUUGGCUUAGAAGCAGCCAUCAUUUAAAGAAAGCGUAAUAGCUCACUGGUCGAGUCGGCCUGCGCGGAAGAUGUAACGGGGCUAAACCAUGCACCGAAGCUGCGGCAGCGACACUCAGGUGUUGUUGGGUAGGGGAGCGUUCUGUAAGCCUGUGAAGGUGGCCUGUGAGGGUUGCUGGAGGUAUCAGAAGUGCGAAUGCUGACAUAAGUAACGAUAAAGCGGGUGAAAAGCCCGCUCGCCGGAAGACCAAGGGUUCCUGUCCAACGUUAAUCGGGGCAGGGUGAGUCGACCCCUAAGGCGAGGCCGAAAGGCGUAGUCGAUGGGAAACGGGUUAAUAUUCCCGUACUUGGUGUUACUGCGAAGGGGGGACGGAGAAGGCUAUGUUGGCCGGGCGACGGUUGUCCCGGUUUAAGCGUGUAGGCUGGUUUUCCAGGCAAAUCCGGAAAAUCAAGGCUGAGGCGUGACGACGAGGCACUACGGUGCUGAAGCAACAAAUGCCCUGCUUCCAGGAAAAGCCUCUAAGCAUCAGGUAACAUCAAAUCGUACCCCAAACCGACACAGGUGGUCAGGUAGAGAAUACCAAGGCGCUUGAGAGAACUCGGGUGAAGGAACUAGGCAAAAUGGUGCCGUAACUUCGGGAGAAGGCACGCUGACAUGUAGGUGAAGUGAUUUACUCACGGAGCUGAAGUCAGUCGAAGAUACCAGCUGGCUGCAACUGUUUAUUAAAAACACAGCACUGUGCAAACACGAAAGUGGACGUAUACGGUGUGACGCCUGCCCGGUGCCGGAAGGUUAAUUGAUGGGGUCAGCGCAAGCGAAGCUCCUGAUCGAAGCCCCGGUAAACGGCGGCCGUAACUAUAACGGUCCUAAGGUAGCGAAAUUCCUUGUCGGGUAAGUUCCGACCUGCACGAAUGGCGUAAUGAUGGCCAGGCUGUCUCCACCCGAGACUCAGUGAAAUUGAACUCGCUGUGAAGAUGCAGUGUACCCGCGGCAAGACGGAAAGACCCCGUGAACCUUUACUAUAGCUUGACACUGAACAUUGAGCCUUGAUGUGUAG